GUAAACAUUUAUACUGACUCUCGAUAUGCCUUUCUAACCCUUCAAGUACAUGGGGCAUUAUAUAAAGAAAAAGGCCUGUUAAAUUCUGGGGGAAAGAACAUAAAAUAUCAACAAGAAAUUCUACAAUUAUUAGAGGCAGUGUGGAAACCCCAAAAGGUGGCAGUCACGCAUUGCAGGGGACACCAGCAAGUUUCCACCUCAGUGAGCCGAGGAAACUCCUGGGCAGACACAGAGGCAUGAAAAGCAGCAUCUACUCCCUACUGGGCAUCAGUCACAGCCCCCCUACUCCCUCAAACACCUGAUCUGGUCCCUACUUAUUCUAAAGAGGAAAAAGACAUUCUUCAGGCAGAAAGAGGACAAAAUAAAAGAAGGAUGGAUAAAGUUACCAGAUGGGGGAGAAUAGCUGUGCCACAGCUGCUAGGAGCCACAGUAGUGCUGGCUGUAUAUGAAACUACCCAUUUAGGUCAAGAGUCACUUGAAAAGCUGUUAAGCUGGUACUUCUACAUCUCACACUUGCCAGCUCUAGCUAAAACAGUAGCGCAGCAAUGCGUUACCUAUUGACAGCACAAUGCAAAGCAAGACCCCUCUGUCCCUCCCGGCAUACAAGCCUAUGGAGUAGCUCCUUUUGAAGAUCUUCAAGUGGACUUCACAGAGAUGCCCAAAUGCGGAGAUGACCGUGUGUGAAUCAAGGACUGGAAAGUAGCUCCUCUGCGGCCAUGAUGGAAAGGACCCCAGACUGUUAUCAUGACCACUCCCACAGCUGUAAAGGCGGAAGGAAUCCUGGCCUGGAUCACACAGCAGCAUAAAGCCUGCAGCCACUGAAACCUAGGAGGCCAAACCAAGCCUGGACAAUCCCUGUAAAGUGACUCUGAGGAGGAUGACAAGCCCUACUCCAGUCAAACCCGGAAGUUGACUGGUCUACGCACGGCCGAAGCAUGAGGAAAAUUGUCAUGGGACUUAUUUUCCUUGUGACAUGGACUUGUGUGGUAAAAGCUUCCACUGCUUCUUUUCACACGGAGGACUGCUUUCAGUGUGUACAUCAGGUCACUGAGGUAGGACAACAAGUUAAAACAAUCUUUUUGUCCUAUAGUUAUUAUGAGUGCCUAGGAACACCAAAAGGAACAUGUUUAUAUAAUAACACUCAGUACAAAGUAUGUAAUCCAGAAAGUGAUCAGCCUGAUGUGUGUUAUGACCCCUCUGAUCCUCCCAUGAUCACGGUAUUUGAAAUAAGACUAAGGACUGGCCCUUUUCUAGGUGACACAAGUAAAGUAAUAGCUAGAACAGAAGAAAGAGGGGUCCCCAAACAUGUAACCCUAAAAUUCGACACUUGUGCCACUAUUAAUAGUAAUCAGCAAGGAAUAAGAUGCGGUUCUCUAGAUUGGGAAAAGAGUUACACAGCAGAAAAUAAGUAUAUCUGCCAUGAAUCAUAUUCAUGUACAAAUGUGUGUCAAUACUGGUCUUGUGUCAUCUGGGCUACUUGGAAAAAAGAUGAAUAAGAUCUUGUUUGGCUCCAAAAAGGAAAAAGCAGCCCCUCCUGCACAAGUGGAAGCUGCAACCCUUUAGAAUUAAUAAUUACAAAUCCUUCAGACCCAAAGUGGGAAAAAGGAGAGCACGUAUCUCUAGGCAUUGAUGGAAAAGGACAAGAUCCUAGAAUAAAUAUCUUAAUAAAAGGAGAGGUUCGAAAACGCUCUCUAGAGCCAGUAUUUCAGACUUUCUAUGAUGAACUAAAUGUGCCAGUACCUGAGAUUCCAGGAAAAACUAGAAAUUUGUUUUUGCAAUUAGCUGAGCAUGUAGCACAGUCUUUAAAAUCACUUUGUGUUAUGUUUGUGGAGGAACUGUAACAGGAGAUCAAUGGCCAUGGGAAGCCCAAGAAUUAGUCCCUACGGACCCAGUUCCUGAUGAAUUCCCAGCCCAAAAGAACCAUCCUGACAAUUUCUGGGUUCUAAAAGUCUCAAUUAUUGGACAAUAUUGCAUAGCUAGAGAAGGAAAAGUACUUUGGGAGGCCAAGGUGAGAGAAGAGAAAAAGAGACCCCUCAUAUUGUUUUACAUUGUUUUAUACUCAGUACCCAUUUUAAGAAGAAACAAGGAAGUGAAACCAAAGGCAGGCAGCCCGGUGCCAGGCACCAGACCCAAACCCAGUCCCAAAACCAGGCCUUUAAAAUUCAACCCAUGACCUAGCAACCGAUGUUAUCCAUAGAUUCCAGACAUUGUAUGGAAGGACAUUGUGAAACUUCUCCUUCUGUUCUGUUUCACUCUGAUUACCGGUGCAUGCAGCCCCUGUCACAUACCCCCUAGAUUGCUCGAUCAAUCAUGGCCCUUUCACGUAAAAUCUUUAGCAUUGUGAGCCCUUAAAAGGGACAGAAAUUGUGCACUCAGGGAUCUCGGAUUUUGAGACAUUAGUCUGCCGAUCCUUCCAGCUGAUUAAAGCCACUUCCUUCACUA